rnacentral:rRNA from 1 species
AGAGUUUGAUCCUGGCUCAGAGUGAACGCUGGCGGCGUGCCUAAUACAUGCAAGUCGAACGAUGAAGCUUCUAGCUUGCUAGAAUGCUGAUUAGUGGCGCACGGGUGAGUAACGCAUAGGUCAUGUGCCUCUUAGUUUGGGAUAGCCAUUGGAAACGAUGAUUAAUACCAGAUACUCCCUACGGGGGAAAGAUUUAUCGCUAAGAGAUCAGCCUAUGUCCUAUCAGCUUGUUGGUAAGGUAAUGGCUUACCAAGGCUAUGACGGGUAUCCGGCCUGAGAGGGUGAACGGACACACUGGAACUGAGACACGGUCCAGACUCCUACGGGAGGCAGCAGUAGGGAAUAUUGCUCAAUGGGGGAAACCCUGAAGCAGCAACGCCGCGUGGAGGAUGAAGGUUUUAGGAUUGUAAACUCCUUUUGUUAGAGAAGAUAAUGACGGUAUCUGACGAAUAAGCACCGGCUAACUCCGUGCCAGCAGCCGCGGUAAUACGGAGGGUGCAAGCGUUACUCGGAAUCACUGGGCGUAAAGAGCGCGUAGGCGGGAUAGUCAGUCAGGUGUGAAAUCCUAUGGCUUAACCAUAGAACUGCAUUUGAAACUACUAUUCUAGAGUGUGGGAGAGGUAGGUGGAAUUCUUGGUGUAGGGGUAAAAUCCGUAGAGAUCAAGAGGAAUACUCAUUGCGAAGGCGACCUGCUGGAACAUUACUGACGCUGAUUGCGCGAAAGCGUGGGGAGCAAACAGGAUUAGAUACCCUGGUAGUCCACGCCCUAAACGAUGGAUGCUAGUUGUUGGAGGGCUUAGUCUCUCCAGUAAUGCAGCUAACGCAUUAAGCAUCCCGCCUGGGGAGUACGGUCGCAAGAUUAAAACUCAAAGGAAUAGACGGGGACCCGCACAAGCGGUGGAGCAUGUGGUUUAAUUCGAAGAUACACGAAGAACCUUACCUAGGCUUGACAUUGAGAGAAUCCGCUAGAAAUAGUGGAGUGUCUGGCUUGCUAGACCUUGAAAACAGGUGCUGCACGGCUGUCGUCAGCUCGUGUCGUGAGAUGUUGGGUUAAGUCCCGCAACGAGCGCAACCCCCUUUCUUAGUUGCUAACAGGUCAUGCUGAGAACUCUAAGGAUACUGCCUCCGUAAGGAGGAGGAAGGUGGGGACGACGUCAAGUCAUCAUGGCCCUUACGCCUAGGGCUACACACGUGCUACAAUGGGGUGCACAAAGAGAAGCAAUACUGCGAAGUGGAGCCAAUCUUCAAAACACCUCUCAGUUCGGAUUGUAGGCUGCAACUCGCCUGCAUGAAGCUGGAAUCGCUAGUAAUCGCAAAUCAGCCAUGUUGCGGUGAAUACGUUCCCGGGUCUUGUACUCACCGCCCGUCACACCAUGGGAGUUGUGUUUGCCUUAAGUCAGGAUGCUAAAUUGGCUACUGCCCACGGCACACACAGCGACUGGGGUGAAGUCGUAACAAGGUAACCGUAGGUGAACCUGCGGUUGGAUCACCU